UACGUAGGGGGCAAGCGUUGUCCGGAUUUACUGGGCGUAAAGCGCGUGUAGGCGGCUAUGUAAGUCGGGCGUGAAAUCCCACGGCUCAACCGUGGAAGUGCACCCGAAACUGCGUAGCUAGAGUCCUGGAGAGGAAGGUGGAAUGCUUGGUGUAGAGGUGAAAUUCGUAGAUAUCAAGCGGAACACCGGUGGCGAAGGCGGCCUUCUGGACAGUGACUGACGCUGAGGAGCGAAAGCGUGGGGAGCGAACAGG
rnacentral:rRNA from 1 species